rnacentral:lncRNA from 1 species
GUUUUCUCCAAAAGCAAGAAAAUAAAUCACAUGAUUUCACAUCUGGAGAAUAAAACUGAAGGAAGCUAUCCCAAAUUUCAGGUUACCUCUCAAAAGGACCCUCAUGGAACCUUUCUGAGGUACAUCAGAGGAACAGAAGACAAAGCACAUUGAUUCUGACUGCCCUGUCUGCUCUGAAAACAUCUGGUAACAGUUCUGAACAACCUCAAACAGGUACAACAUGCAGGAUAAGAACUUCCUGAGAAUUGCUUAUAUAUUGCGUGUUCAGGUCAAAACAAGCACAGCCACUUCCCAGCAUGAUAUUUCCUAUUGCAACUCCUCCUCCCCUCCUCCAGUCCACCAAAUUCAAACAAAGCACUCUGACAAGUGGGGUUCGUUCUGCAGCUCAUACCAGGAUGUGAUGAGCCAACCAGGGGAUGUUUUAUGGUGUUUGCAUGGCAUGGAUCAACUUUCCUCAUCCUUGAGUAAUAAAAUCAAAAAUGCAGGUAAAUGCUGA